ACAUGAUUUUCUUAAUAAUAUUUUCUUUUCUCUAUCUUACUUUAUUGUAAGAAUACAGUGAGACACGUUCAUCAGCUUCUUCCUUUCUGCCCGCGGACGCUGCUGAAGAAGCAUCGUUAAAGUCUCUCUUCUCCCUUCCAUCAUGUCUAAGUCAGAGUCUCCUAAAGAGCCCGAACAGCUGAGGAAGCUCUUCAUUGGAGGGUUUAGCUUUGAAACAACUGAUGAGAGCCUGAGGAGCCAUUUUGAGCAAUGGGGAACGCUCACGGACUGUGUGGUAAUGAGAGAUCCAAACACCAAGCACUCCAGGGGCUUUGGGUUCAUUACAUAUGCCACUGUGGAGGAGGUGGAUGCAGCCAUGAAUGCAAGGCCACACAAGGUGGAUGCAAGAGUUGUGGAACCAAAGAGAGCUGUCUCAAGAGAAGAUUCUCAAAGACCAGGUGCCCACUUAACUAUGAAAAAGAUAUUUGUUGGUGGCAUUAAAGAAGACACUGAAGAACAUCACCUAAGAGAUUAUUUUGAACAGUAUGGAAAAAUUGAAGUGACUGAAAUCAUGACUGACUGAGGCAGUGGCAAGAAAAGGGGCUUUGCCUUUGUAACCUUUGAUGACCAUGACUCCGUGGAUAAGACUGUCAUUCAGAAAUAUCAUACUGUGAAUGGUCACAACUGUGAAGUUAGGAAAGCCCUGUCAAAGCAAGAGAUGGCUAGUGCUUUAUCCAGCCAAAGAGGCUGAAGUGGUUCUAGAAAUUUUGGUGGUGGUUGUGGAGGUGGUUUUGGCGGAAUGACAACUCUGGUAGUGGAGGAAACUUCAGUGGUGGUGGUGGAUAUGGUGGCAGUGGGGCUGGCUAUAAUGGAUUUGGUAAUGAUGGAAGCAAUUUUGGAGGUGGUGGAAGCUACAGUGAUUUUGGCAAUUACAACAAUCAGUCUUCAAAUUUUGGACCCAUGAAGGGAGGAAACUUUGGAGGAAGAAGCCCGGAUCCCUAUGGUGGUGGAGGCCAAUACUUUGCCAAACCAUGAAACCAAGGCGGCUAUGGUGGGUCCAGUAGCAGCAGUAGCUAUGGCAGUGGCAGAAGAUUUUAAUUAGGAAACAAAGCUUAGCAGGAGACGAGAGCCAGAGAAGUGACAGGGAAGCUACAGGUUACAACAGAUUUGUGAACUCAGCCAAGCACAGUGGUGGCAGGGCCUAGCUGCUACAAAGAAGACCUGUUUUAGACAAAUACUCAUGGGUAUGGGCAAAAAACUUGAGGACUGUAUUUGUGACUAAUUGUAUAAUAAGUCAUUUUAGUUUCUAUUCUGUGGAAGGUGUAAAGCAUUCCAACAAGGGUUUCAAUGUAGA